rnacentral:rRNA from 1 species
GACGAACGCUGGCGGCGUGCCUAAUACAUGCAAGUCGAGCGAAGUUUUUCUGGUGCUUGCACCGGAAAAACUUAGCGGCGACCGGGUGAGUAACACGUAAAGAACCUGCCUCAUAGACUGGGACAACUAUUGGAAACGAUAGCUAAUACCGGAUAAUAGCAUUAACUGCAUGGUUGAUGUUUGAAAGUUGGUUUUGCUAACACUAUGAGAUGGCUUUGCGGUGCAUUAGCUAGUUGGUGGGGUAAAGGCCUACCAAGGCGACGAUGCAUAGCCGACCUGAGAGGGUGAUCGGCCACACUGGGACUGAGACACGGCCCAGACUCCUACGGGAGGCAGCAGUAGGGAAUCUUCCGCAAUGGGCGAAAGCCUGACGGAGCAACGCCGCGUGAGUGAAGAAGGAUUUCGGUUCGUAAAGCUCUGUUGUUAGGGAAGAAUGAUUGUGUAGUAACUAUACACAGUAGAGACGGUACCUAACCAGAAAGCCACGGCUAACUACGUG